rnacentral:rRNA from 1 species
UACGAAGGGGGCUAGCGUUGCUCGGAAUCACUGGGCGUAAAGGGUGCGUAGGCGGGUCUUUUAAGUCAGGGGUGAAAUCCUGGAGCUCAACUCCAGAACUGCCUUUGAUACUGAAGAUCUUGAGUUUCGGGAGAGGGUGAGUGGAACUGCGAGUGUAGAGGUGAAAGUCGUAGAUAUUCGCAAGAACACCAGUGGCGAAGGCGGCUCACUGGCCCGAUACUGACGCUGAGGCACGAAAGCGUGGGGAGCAAACAGG